rnacentral:rRNA from 1 species
CCUACGGGUGGCAGCAGUGGAGAAUCAUUCACAAUGGGGGAAACCCUGAUGGAGCGACGCCGCGUGGGGGAAUGAAGGUCUCCGGAUUGUAAACUCCUGUCAUGUGGGAGCAAAUUAAAAAGAUAGUACCACAAGAGGAAGAGACGGCUAACUCUGUGCCAGCAGCCGCAGUAAUACAGAGGUCUCAAGCUUUGGUCGGAACUACUGGGCGUAAAGCGUGCGUAGGCGGUUGCGUAAGUCGGAUGUGAAAGGGGCGGGCUCAACCCGUGGACGGCACAUGAUACUGGGAGACUUGAGUGAUGGAGAGGGAACCGGAAUUCCCGGUGUAGCAGUGAAAUGCGUAGAUAUCGGGAGGAACACUCGUGGCGAAGGCGGGUUCCUGGACAGUAACUGACGCUGAGGCACGAAAGCCAGGGGAGCGAAAAGGAUUAGAUACCCCAGUAGUC